GAGGCCACUGCUCAAUUGCAAUCGCAAUUGGCUGAUGUGAAAUCCCGGCUGGCACAUCAAGAAUCUGAGACCCGGAAGGCCGAUUCAAAAUACAACUUUAGCCUGGAAGAAACGGAAAAACUGAAGACCAAUUUCAACACUGAAAGAGCCGCAUGGGCUGAGGAGAGAACUGCUCUGACACAGCGGGCUGAAAAAGCUGAACCUUCUCUUCAAGAGGUGACCACUGAGCUUACCGGCUUAAAGCACCAUAUAUCUCAGAUGAUCUCUGCUAUCUUUGGCCCUAGGAGCAGUAACCUUGGUCAAGAAAUUCUUGUGAAGCUCAAAUCCGUAUAUACACUUGUUGAACAACUAUACACUGGCACUCAUCGCACUCUGGCUACUAUCUCCCCAACCAAUCAAGCGCCUACUCUUCUCAGUUAUGUUUUGAAAAAACUCUCCGUUUUACCUGCCAGGAUUGAAGAAAUAAAGCGGUCGGCAGCAAGAGCCGGUGCCGUGACGGCUUUAAACCGGGCCAAAGCAUGGCAGGCAGAGCUAGACCCGUCCGAGCUAGCCACUGGGUGUCCAAGCUUUAAAGAAGAUGACACUCCUUUUGAUAAAAAAGACUUUGCUGCUGUGUGAAGGAAAUACGUCCACUGGCCACUCUGAUGGCCGAUGAAACGGAUCUUUAAAAGUACCAGGCGGCUUAUGACAUGGAGAAUCAGAAGAUGCCCAUGCCGGCUUACAAAGUGAUGGACCUGAUCCCUCCAAUCCGUAAGCAUACUUUCGCCCCUGAAGUUGAUCCGUCCGAACUUAUAGAUGACGAAGCUGAAUUCCAAGCCUUGUGUGGCAUUGACUGGUCAUCACCAAACUUCCAGACGACGGAGGAGAACGAAGAACCGGCGAAGGAUGAUCCAUAGGCUUAAAGCCAUCAAAGCCAAGAAAAUUGAUCUGCUGGGCGGUUCACAUUUCAUAUUUGAUCUUCUGAAACACUUAAACAUUUGGGCUUGCUGAGUCAUGUAAUAGUUUAGUGAAAACCAUGAUCUGCCGUGCCAUCGUGCACAUUUUAUUUUGCAUGAUACUGCUGAUCCGCCAGCUGAAGAUGUGUGACUUGUGUUUAUGAUAUCAUCAUAUAGACCAGUUGUUUA